GAUGAACGCUGGCGGCGUGCUUAACACAUGCAAGUCGAACGGAACUUGUAAGCGGAAGUCUUCGGAUGGAAGCUUGCUUGUUUAGUGGCGGACGGGUGAGUAACGCGUGGGUAACCUGCCUUACACAGGGGGAUAACAGCCGGAAACGGCUGCUAAUACCGCAUAAGCGCACAGCUUCGCAUGGAGCGGUGUGAAAAAGAUCUGGAGUUCGCUUGCGAACUCCCUGGUGUAAGAUGGACCCGCGUCUGAUUAGCUGGUUGGUGGGGUAACGGCCUACCAAGGCAACGAUCAGUAGCCGGCUUGAGAGAGUGAACGGCCACAUUGGGACUGAGACACGGCCCAAACUCCUACGGGAGGCAGCAGUGGGGAAUAUUGCACAAUGGGCGAAAGCCUGAUGCAGCGACGCCGCGUGAGUGAAGAAGUAUUUCGGUAUGUAAAGCUCUAUCAGCAGGGACGAAGCGGAGUUCGUAAGAACUCCAUUGACGGUACCUGACUAAGAAGCCCCGGCUAACUACGUG
rnacentral:rRNA from 1 species